rnacentral:rRNA from 1 species
GUAGGUGGCAAGCGUUGUCCGGAAUUGUUGGGCGUAAAGCGCGCGCAGGGCGGUCCUUUAAGUCUGAUGUGAAAGCCCACGGCUCAACCGUGGAGGGUCAUUGGAAACUGGGGGACUUGAGUACAGAAGAGGAAAGCGGAAUUCCAAGUGUAGCGGUGAAAUGCGUAGAGAUUUGGAGGAACACCAGUGGCGAAGGCGGCUUUCUGGUCUGUAACUGACGCUGAGGCGCGAAAGCGUGGGGAGCAAACAGGAUUAGAUACCCUGGUGGUCCACGCCGUAAACGAUGAGUGCUAAGUGUUAGGGGGUUUCCGCCCCUUAGUGCUGCAGCUAACGCAUUAAGCACUCCGCCCGGGGAGUACGGCCGCAAAGGCUG